CACGUAGGGGGCGAGCGUUGUCCGGAAUCAUUGGGCGUAAAGAGCUCGUAGGCGGCUCGGUAAGUCGGGUGUGAAACCCCCAGGCUCAACCUGGGGACGCCACCCGAUACUGCUGUGGCUAGAGUCCAGUAGGGGAGUGUGGAAUUCCCGGUGUAGCGGUGAAAUGCGCAGAUAUCGGGAGGAACACCAGCGGCGAAGGCGACUCACUGGACAUGUAUUGACGCUGAGGUGCGAAAGCGUGGGGAGCAAACAGG
rnacentral:rRNA from 1 species